CUAGAGAUAGAAAGUUACUUCGGUACAUCGGUGACAGGUGGUGCAUGGUUGUCGUCAGCUCGUGUCGUGAGAUGUUGGGUUAAGUCCCGCAACGAGCGCAACCCCUAUUGUUAGUUGCCAUCAUUCAGUUGGGCACUCUAGCGAGACUGCCGGUAAUAAACCGGAGGAAGUGGGAUGACGUCAAAUCAUCAUGCCCCUUAUGACCUGGGCUACACACGUGCUACAAUGGUUGGUACAACGAGUUGCGAGUCGGUGACGGCGAGCUAAUCUCUUAAAGCCAAUCUCAGUUCGGAUUGUAGGCUGCAACUCGCCUACAUGAAGUCGGAAUCGCUAGUAAUCGCGGAUCAGCACGCCGCGGUGAAUACGUUCCCGGGCCUU
rnacentral:rRNA from 1 species